UCCGGGAAGGGACUUGGGGGACACUUUUGUGUCCGAGCUGUGGCUGGAGGAGCUCGGGGGGAACGUGUACGGCUCGGGAGCAAUUGGGGAGAGCCUGGGGAGCUCUAAGCGGGCUCCUUACGGCGCGGGCAUGGCACGCCCUUAUGUCAUCCUCCUCCUCAGGGCCGGGGACGCCAUUUUGGGGAGCAGUGGCGGUGAUCUCCCGACGGGACAGGGACAUGACAGCAAAGGCUGAAGAGCUCAAGAAAGAAGAGGCCUGUGGAAAAGUAAAAUUCAUCAGCAACCUCCAAGUGGCUGAGGAUCCAUCCUCGUGAGAGCAGGAAUGGCCAGCAAUGGGCACAGCUUUGUGGCUGCCCCAGCUUUGGGAUGGGCCCUGGGCCUGGAGCAGGAGCAGCUCUUGAGGGCCCCAAGGCCGGGGCUGUGGUGCUGGCCUGGGCAGAUGGGAUGGCAGGAGGGGCUGCAGAGCUGCCAGGAUCUCCUGGAGAGGGGAGCAGGGCACCCAGGGAGCCUCCUUUUCCUUUGGCCAGGCACUUUCCCCCAUGGCUGGGGCUGAGGCCUCUCUGAGCUGCAGCUGCUGCUGUGCCCUGCAGAGGGGCUGAGGCCGUGCGGCAGUGCCCAGAGCAGCCUGCCCUGAGCAGAGCUGUGGGGCCAGAGCCGGCUGGGCUGUGCUGGGGAGAGGCCCUGGCUGCUGCCGAGAGCUCAGGGCAGCUGGGACAGCUUGGAGGGAGCUGGGCUGGGCUCAGAGAGCCUGCCAGAGAAACCAGCAGUGUCCAUCUCAGCCUGGGUGAGCGUGCAGGGACAGGACUCAGCCCAGGCCUUGUGGGGCAGGGCCAGCGCCUACAGGGCAAGGGAUUGAAAACAGGCAAGUGGCCGAGAGAGGAGGCUGCUCUGUGCCCUUGGUGGCAUGAGCAGGGCAGGGAGGGGGCCCAGGACAUUUGUCACCACCAGGCUCUGUCCCCAGGUGCUGCCAGCCCUGGCUGCUGAGCCCAGGUUUGGCCUGGGCUGAGUUUGGCUGUGGCCCAGCUCCAUCCUCCUGCAGGGCUCAGGGCCUGUUGCUGGCCAUGGCCAGCCCUGCCCGGCCUCUGUGCUGGCCCAGAGCCCGGCAGAGCCCGGGGCAGGGCUGUGUGUGCAGGCCCACAGGUGCCACGGGCUCUGCAGGAGCUGGGAGAGGCUGCCCAGCAGGGAGGCCAUGGGGCACAGAGCCCCAGGGCUGCUGUGGGCACCACGGCACAGGGGCCGUGCCCACCCGCAAUGCUCCUGCCCUGGGCUGGGCCUGCCCAGGGGCUGGGGCACCAUGGCUGGGCCAGCGGGGCACAAA